AACGAACGCUGGCGGCAUGCCUAACACAUGCCAGUCGAACGAGACCUUCGGGUCUAGUGGCGCACGGGUGCGUAACGCGUGGGAACCUGCCCUUAGGUUCGGAAUAACUCCCCGAAAGGGGUGCUAAUACCGGAUAAUGUCUUCGGACCAAAGAUUUAUCGCCUUUGGAUGGGCCCGCGUUGGAUUAGCUAGUUGGUAGGGUAAAAGCCUACCAAGGCGACGAGCCAUAGCUGGUCUGAGAGGAUGAUCAGCCACACUGGGAGUGAGACACGGCCCAGACGCCUACGGGAGGCAGCAGCGGGGGAGUGUCCGCAAUGGGGGACAGCCUGAUGGAGAAAUACCGAGUGGGGGAAGAAGGCUAUUGGGUUGUAAACAUCUUUUCUGAGGGAAGAACAAAAGGCCGGUACCUAAGGAAUCAGCAUCGGCUAACUCCGUG
rnacentral:rRNA from 1 species